UACGUAGGGAGCGAGCGUUGUCCGAAGUUACUGGGCGUAAAGCGCGCGUAGGCGGGCUGUUAAGUGAGAGGUGAAAGGCUGGGGCUUAACCCCAUGCAGUGCCUCUCAUACUGGCGGUCUUGAGUGCGGCAGGGAGAAGUGGAAUGGCUGGUGUAGCGGUGAAAUGCGUAGAUAUCAGGAGGAACACCGGUGGUGUAGACGGCUUUCUGGACCGUAACUGACGCUGAGACACGAAAGCGUGGGGAUCAAACAGG
rnacentral:rRNA from 1 species